rnacentral:lncRNA from 1 species
AGUUGGAGCCAUGGGACCUUCCAUGUGUACUCUUUGGUUGGUGGUUUAGUCUGUGGGAACUCUGGGGGUCUGGGGGGAGAUCUGGAUGGUUGAUGUUGUUCUUCCUAUAUGGUUGCAACCACCUUCAGCUCAGAAGGGGCCUUUUUUAUCAUGGCAUAUGAACAUGACUCUUGGUCAAGAUAGAAAUGAGAUGGUCAUCUUUUGUCUUUAUCUUUGCUUUCCCAUUAAUCAGACUGAAUCAGGAGCAUAACAUAAAUAAAUUAACCUCAUUAGUAAAAUAUCUUGUUACUUUCUAGUCUCUUUCCUCUAAAAUUUGGCAAAGGGCCACGUGCAUGGCCAUUGAUUUCAAAACUUCAUUUACUAUAAAAGAAACGUGAGAUUUAUCUAUCUUAUUAUUUCAUGUGUAUAGGUAUUUUCCCUGUAUGUAUGUGUGGGUAUCACAUGCAAGCCUGCUGCCAGAAAGCUUAGAAGAGGGAUCAGAUAGCCUGGUGCUGAAGUUCCAAGCCACGUCAGCCAUCCUAUGCAAGCUUGGAAUUGAACCCAGGUCUCCUGCAAGAGUUACAGAUGCUAUUAUCAUGAGGAACAUUUCUUCAGUCAGAGCUAAAAUCCUUUACAAAUUAAAAAAGACAAUUAUUAAAGCCAGGGAGAUGAGUCAGCAAUUUAAAGCUCUUCCUGUCCAGACUGGGUACCUAACUUUUUAUCCUUAAAGCCCUGAAGAGACAGAGUCUGGCAUGUUUUCCUGACUUUCACAUGCUUGGCGUGAUGCAUGUCUACCUGUACUCACAUAUGCAAAUGAAUGAAUAUAGUAAAAUAAUUUUUGAAGCGGGAAAGAGACAGCAAGUGUGAAACUCCUUUAUUCAGUCCUUUCUAGUGUCAUAUGGCAUAGAUAUUUGGAACAACUCAAAGCCAGCUACAAAAAAAGUCAAAAUCUAACUUUUUUUUUGUUGUAGCGUUAGUAGUAGUCGUCACCGUUGUCAUAGUGGUUGUUGUUUGGUAUUCAUAUCCAGGAGGAGAAAUACUUCUGAGAAAUUUCAGGUUUUUCCCUUCAUUUUGUAUUUCUUCUUUGAUUCUCCAAUUCCUAAGUAAACGAUUAAGGAAGAAAAAUAAAGGUAUUUAAACAGAAACUCUUAUAGGUGUAUGUGCUUCACUGACACACAGUGUCACAGCAUGUGUUCCGGAGAAACAGAGAAGGAUGUUAGAAUUCAAUUUAAGAGCAUAUGAAAAGAACUAGCCUGUUAAAAAUAAACCUAUAAUGAUCGAUCGGGUUUCUGCCUUCCUUAAAUACUUUUGCUGUUGCACUGGCUUAGUCAUUAGCAUUCAAUGAAGUCUCCAAUUAUUAUCCAGCCUGCUGUUCUCCACUCUCGCCGAUUGUCAGUUUUCAGUUUUGAAAUGUACUGCAUGAUGUGAAAGGCGUCAUUCUUUCCACCACUGGUCUGCAGAGCUGCUCUGUUUUCUGACUUCCUCAGGCUUUUCUUGUUACAAAGUCAGCGCUAAUAGCAAUGCUGUACUUUUGGUUUUCUAAGCACUCACACUGCGAAAGAAUUCACUGAGGUCUUUCUUAUGUGUACCAGAGUUUAUUUCUUUCUGUUUUCCACUCAGGAUAUUGAAAAUGCUUAUAUUAACAUUUGCCUUUAGCCAAAAAGAAAAUUACAUUUUGUUUUGUUUCUUGAACGUGGAGCUACUUUUGUUCCCAUUGAGACUCAUGACUGGCGCUGAUUUUUAUUUCCCUUCAUUAUCCAACUAGCAUCUUAAACAAUUUAUUUAAAGCAAAGCAAAAGAACCAUAGGUUUUGAGCCUAUAAUUCAGGGCUCCAUGACACAGCAGCCACCAGCCACACAAGCCAGUCAACUGUGGCCUUCCAAUGUCAGAAUCUGAUGGCUUAUAUGAAACAAAAUGAAACAUCUUAUUCAUGACUGCUAUAUUGAUCAUGUUAUGGGCUGAUAAAAUGCUAUAGUAGAUUACAUACAGUGUGUUACUGAAAAUCACUGGAUGUGUUGUUUUGUAUUUUAAAUAAAGACUCCAAAGAGAAUUUCUAGAUACACAUGAUUGUUUGAUUGUCAUAAUCUGUUUUAACAGAAAGGCUUAUGUACUUGACUGGUGAGAGAGGCGGGGGAGGGCAGAGAGACAGAGAGACAAAGAGAGACAGAGACAGAGGGAAAGGUGUGUUUUAGAAGGUAUGGAUUAUAUCUGCAUGCAAAUGCAAAUAGCCAUACAGAGACAUACACAUACUCCAUUUUUGAGAAUAUG